rnacentral:tRNA from 2 species
GGAGAGAUGCCGGAGUGGUCGAUCGGGACGGUCUCGAAAACCGUUGUACUCUUACGGGUACCCAGGGUUCGAAUCCCUGUCUCUCCG